rnacentral:rRNA from 1 species
AGUGAACGCUGGCGGCGUGCUCAACACAUGCAAGUCGAACGAGAACGGGUUAUAGCUUGCUAUAAUUGUCAGCUAAGUGGCGCACGGGUGAGUAAUGUAUAGGUAAUAUGCCUCUUACUAAGGGAUAACAAAUGGAAACGUUUGCUAAUACCUUAUACUCCUUAUUAACAGAAGUUAAUAAGGGAAAGAUUUAUUGGUAAGAGAUUAGCCUGUAUUGUAUCAGUUAGUUGGUGGGGUAAUGGCUUACCAAGGCUAUGACACAUAACUGGUUUGAGAGGAUGAUCAGUCACACUGGAACUGAGACACGGUCCAGACUCCUACGGGAGGCAGCAGUGGGGAAUAUUGCACAAUGGACGAAAGUCUGAUGCAGCAACGCCGCGUGGAGGAUGACACAUUUCGGUGCGUAAACUCCUUUUAUAUGAGAAGAUAAUGACGGUAUUAUAUGAAUAAGCACCGGCUAACUCCGUGCCAGCCGCCGCCGUAA